rnacentral:rRNA from 1 species
CCUACGGGUGGCAGCAGUGAGGAAUAUUGGUCAAUGGACGAAAGUCUGAACCAGCCAUGCCGCGUGCAGGAUGACGGCCCUAUGAGUUGUAAACUGCUUUUGUAUUAGGGUAAACACCCCUACGUGUAGGGGCUUGAAAGUAUAAUACGAAUAAGGAUCGGCUAACUCCGUGCCAGCAGCCGCGGUAAUACGGAGGAUCCAAGCGUUAUCCGGAUUUAUUGGGUUUAAAGGGUGCGCAGGCGGCCUGUUAUGUCAGCGGUAAAAGCCCGGGGCUAAACCCCGCCGAGCCGUUGAAACUGGCAGGCUGGAGUUGGAGAGAGGUACGCGGAAUGCGCGGUGUAGCGGUGAAAUGCUUAGAGAUCGCGCAGAACCCCGAUUGCGAAGGCGGCGUACCGGAUCCACACUGACGCUGAGGCACGAAAGCGUGGGUAUCGAACAGGAUUAGAUACCCCUGUAGUC